GGCGGCCCCGCGGAGCCGGGCGGAGCGGCGGCGGCUCCAGGCGGGAGCGCUGCCCCGGGGAUCGGGGGAUACUCCAGGUUCUAUGUAAUCUCAUUGGGCAACAGCAGUGGAACUAACUCGUC
rnacentral:lncRNA from 1 species